UGACACUGGUUGAAUAAAAAUUUAAUUAUUUUUUAUUUCACAUGAUGCAAGUUUACCUUUUGUUUUGCAGUAAUUAGAUUCAUUGUGAAGAUGUGUGCACUGGGCUGGAACAUUUCCAGAGAAAGCUGGACUAGCCAUGCAUCAGCAUACUAGCCAAGAUUGAUACCUCUCCACAAAUCAACAAAGACAUCAAUGAAGCUUUGUUAAAGCUAGUGACAAUUUACAUGUUUUCUUAUGUGGCUUAAUUAUAAUAAUGUCAAGAAAGCUAAUUAAAUAAGAACUAUACAUUU